GGAAGUAAAAGUCGUAAUAAGGUUUCCGUAGGUGAACCUGCGGAAGGAUCAUUAUUGUAUAACCGAGGUGCGAGGGCUGUCGCUGACCCGAAAGGUCGUGCACGCCCGAGUGCCCUCACACACAUCCAUCUCACCCCUAUGUGCACCACCGCGUGGGUCCCCCUUUGGCUUGUUCGGAGGGGGGCUUACGUUUUCACACAAACUUUGUAUGCAGUGUAGAAUGUAUUUUUUGUUUUUGCGAUCACGCAAUCAAUACAACUUUCAACAACGGAUCUCUUGGCUCUU
rnacentral:misc_RNA from 1 species